AGAAAAAUAAGCUAAUUUUAAGCUAUUGGACUCAUAAUCCAACUAUAGGUUUACCCUUUUUUCUA
rnacentral:tRNA from 1 species